rnacentral:rRNA from 1 species
AUUGAACGCUGGCGGCAGGCCUAACACAUGCAAGUCGAGCGGAUGACGGGAGCUUGCUCCUUGAUUCAGCGGCGGACGGGUGAGUAAUGCCUAGGAAUCUGCCUGGUAGUGGGGGACAACGUUUCGAAAGGAACGCUAAUACCGCAUACGUCCUACGGGAGAAAGCAGGGGACCUUCGGGCCUUGCGCGAUCAGAUGAGCCUAGGUCGGAUUAGCUAGUUGGUGAGGUAAUGGCUAACCAAGGCGACGAUCCGUAACUGGUCUGAGAGGAUGAUCAGUCACACUGGAACUGAGACACGGUCCAGACUCCUACGGGAGGCAGCAGUGGGGAAUAUUGGACAAUGGGCGAAAGCCUGAUCCAGCCAUGCCGCGUGUGUGAAGAAGGUCUUCGGAUUGUAAAGCACUUUAAGUUGGGAGGAAGGGCAGUAAGUUAAUACCUUGCUGUUUUGACGUUACCGACAGAAUAAGCACCGGCUAACUCUGUGCCAGCAGCCGCCGUAACAC